ACACAAAUGUUCUUAAGGCCAGAAAAGAGGACAAAGAAAGCGAACAGAAAUGGGCGAUGAAGCCAACGGCUAAAUGCUACAACAUUAAACAGAGAAUUCUGCAAAUGGAUUUCUACAGAUGGUAUUUGUAUCUUUCUCUUUAACAUUUAGGUAUAAUUUCAAAGUUAAAUUGUGUGUUUUUCUUUUACUCAAAUCCAAUUUCUUUUGCUACUACGCUCAUGAUGAAUUGUAGCGAACGAUGAUGGUAGAAAAGAUUACGAUCAUAUGAUUAUCGAUAUGUUAAAGGAAAAGGAUUGGUAUGAAAUGAAUCGUAGUAAUCGUAUGAGUAGAAAAACAAAUUGCACACCAGGUGUUCGAUUAUUUGCCAAUACGAGCGAUGAGUUGGUAUAGUUGUGCUAAUUGCUGGUAUACUUGUACUGUACAAGAUUUGAUGCAUUUGCGUUGGUUAAGUGAUGCAUAGUAAUGAACAAUACUAUAAUAUUCAUAGCCUUUGACUAUUAUGAUUAAACAAAUGAAUCCUAAACAUCUAUUUCCUAAUAAACUUCUCAAAAAGGGCUUAACUUUGGUCGUGCUUCCCAGUUCCCAUUGCCUUUUAAGUCUAGCAUACCAGAAAAAACUAACAUGGUGUGUUGUCAUCAUUUUACUUCAAUUCUUGAUUAAUCCUUGUAUAAAAUAUAAAGGUUUUUCAAGAAUUUAUCUGUAAUGCUGAUAGACAAUAAGGAUGAUGAUAAGAUAUAAUGAUAAGUGAUAACCCUAAAGAAUAUUAUCGUGUAAAAUGUGAAAUACAAAACACCAUGUAAUGGAAUUUAUGAUCCUUAAAGUUGAACUUUUUUUAGCUUCAAAAGAUAGGGGACAACCAACUCUUCUUGGGUGGGAAGCGUCGAAUAUCUUGUGAAUUUCAAUUAUGCAGAAUAUUAUAUGAAAAAUAGGAAAUUUUCAAAACAAUAAUGUGAAAUUGUCAACAAGUCAAAAGAGUUGACCAUUUGUGCGCAUGCUCAGUUGCAUCUUGUAAUGUAAGAACUUGAAGAGGUCAUCCUCCACCUUGCUUCUUGUUGUCUAACUUAUUCAUUGAUACUUGAAUACUGCAAUUACAUUCUUAAGAUUCCACAUAAACCAUAUCACCAUAACAUGAAUCCAAUAUUGUUCUUCAAGUUUUGUUUAAUGGGUAGAGGAGGGAAAGUUAAAACUUGACAAACUUAGUGCCUUCUUAUUUAGGAAAUUAAUCCACAUCCUUUUUGGGAAAUAUUCCAAGAUUACAAAUAAUUGAGUGUCUUGAUUUGGGUCAAUGUUAUAUAAAGAAAUAUAUGCAUUUUAGCACAUCUAAUUAUACACAUUAUAGCUGUUGUAGAGAUUUUUCACAUUCUACAAUAUGAGUUUGACUUAAGAUUUGAUGAGAUAAUGUGGUGAAAUGACUUCAAAUUAUUUAUAAUCGUAAAAAAAUGUCUAGAAAUACAAUGACACAAUUUGACAUGUGGAUUUUUUUUAGUUGUAAAGUGUAGGAGGCAAUUGACUCUUCCUUCUCAGAGGCGUCGAAAGAAACAUCUAUUCUAUCCUUUAGUUUUGACAUACUUAUGUGGUUUGACUUUUGACCAUUACACAAUGAAUUAAAAAAAAAAAAAGUAAAUAUGUUUGAUAUUUUGCUGGAAGUCAACAUGUUGACUUUUUGUGUGCUUUUGCUUAUGUAUCUUUAUAAUUCUUGCUCUAAGGAAAUGAUAACUAGUAGAAGUCAGCUCCUAGCUACAGCCAGCUCAUUCAUGUUCUUAUUGUUUAGUGGAAUGCAACUAACUGAUUCACCAAAAGGUAAGAUAUAGCAUGCACUUAUUUGAGUUAUACAGGCCUUGAAAUUUUAUUUUUAUUAUGCAUUUUGAGACUUUAUAAUCACUAAAAUAGAAUGUGGAAAAACUUGUUACAUGGUAUUUACAAAUUGCUAACUUUUGUUUUAUAAAUUUCAUGACAUGAGGAAGAUACAAAAGUUAACUAUAUAUCUUAUAAAUGUUAAUCAAUAACAAUAAAACAUCAUAUCAUACAACAAAAAGUCUUACAAUAGACUAAAACUUCAAGUCUUUUCAUAAACUAUCAUCAUGUUCAUGGUAGCAUGACAUUAUCAUCAUGAAUGUCAUCUUGCAAAAGAGGAGUUUUUGAGCUCUCAAUCAUAUUCCCUUCAACAAUUCUAUCUUCUUUACCUUUUCCCCACAUUACACCAUAAAAUCCAAUCACAAUCACUCCUGAUCCAAGUAAACUGCCAAAUAUUUUAAACACAAACUGUCAACAACAUCUCAUUAAUUAAUUAAUUAAUUAAUUAAUUAAUUAAUUAAUUACCUUCCAAGAUAGAGAGAAUCUCCUAAAAAUAUAACACCCAUAAUAGCUGCAAUCACAAUCCCUAAUGGAUGAAACAUAGCAACAAAAAGUGGCCCUUUCAUCUUCACACACCAUGCUCCAAUUGUGAGUUGAAAACCAGCCCCAAAGCAACCCUACAUUAUACAUUAUCAUUUUCAUCCAUCACACAGGGGUAGUUUAGUCAUUUGACUAAUUUCAUACUUUUUCUUUUUCUCAACUUACCGCAUACAAAAUCGCAAGAAACCUAGUUUUAGACUGUAAACUAAAUGCACUCAAAUCGUGUUCCAAAAUCAAUGAAGCUAAAAGCGAAAGGACGGUUAUAAUCGAACAAUAAGCCAACAUCAAAAUCAGGACGGCUGAGUAUCUCUUGAGGAUGACCGCCUGUAAAUGUUUUUAUCGUGAGUAACACAGCCUGUGAAAUUACUGAAUUACCCUUGUGUUGGUAGUAAUCUAGUUUUAAUAACCUAAUCUACCUGUGCAAUAAUGAAUAAAGCAGCUAAGACACAGUCGAUUAGCAUUAACACUCCACCAAGGAUGAACUCUGAUGAUUGACCAAGGAGAUGUUGUGGAGCGACUAAAGUUAAAUGAGAGGUUAUAAUUGCGGGGCCCGUGUAAAAAGUUACGAUUAUAGCCCCUAAAAUUGAAACUAGGGUUCCAAUGAUUUUCGCCCACUUGGUUACCCCUCCAUGGUCUAGUCUUUCUACCCUGAAAGAGUCACAAAGUCAAUUACCUUUGUACUACUGUGUUUGACAUGCAUUGGACUGGAACCGAGACUGAUGUCAACAGGACUAGAACUGCAAAUUUUUUGCCACACCCAAAAAGAUGUAACAAGACGAGACAGAGACUCACUCUCGAUCUCAAUCUCUCGUCUGUACAAAAGACGUAAAUGCCCUCAUUCUCAUCAUUGAAAACAUCCGUAGAAAGCUUGUCUAGUCCUGUCCAGUCAUGUAUAACAAAUGCAGCCGAAGGCUGCAUUUGUUGCGUGGGACAAGACAAACUUUCUAGGGAUGUUUUCAAUGAUGAGGAUUGAGGGCAUUUACGUCUUUUGCACAAACGAGAGAUCGAGAUCGAGAGUGAGUCUCUGUCUCACCUUGUUACAUCUUUAUGGGUGUGGCAAAAAGUUUACAGUUCUGUUGACAUCAGUCUCGGUAUCAGUCCAAUGCAUGUCAAAUACAGUAUAAACUUGUAUGUUGUAUGUUAUGUCCUGUUUAAUUAUAUAGUAACUUUUUUUAAAUAAUGUGAAAUAAAGAUUGUUGAUUACCCAAAUAUGAUGGCGAGUAUAAAAGUAAAGCCUGGUAUGAGGUUAAGAAUUGCCGUGGCAACUGUAGCGGAAGCAUAUGUAAGUCCAGCAUAUCCAACCACCUGUACCAAGAACCUGAAAAUAUAUAUUUUUUUUAAAUAAUAAAAAAAAAACUUAUUAUAAAAUCAUAAAUUAAAUAACUUUUUUUAUAUACGAAAUCAUAAAUCUUAGGUACCCUAGUAUGCCAACAACAAGAAAACCACCGGCAACUGAUAAAGUUAGAGGAGGGCGAUUCGAUGAUCUGCAAAACAAAAAUUAAAAAAGAAUUUAUAAUCUAAAUUUCUUUCAAGAUUUAAAUAAAAAGAAGAAGAAGAAGUAGUAGGUACCUAUGAAUGAGAAAAGAAGUAGGAAGAAGAAUAAGUGAUGCGAAAAAGUUGGAGUAGAAAACAUAAGAAAAGUUAUGCAUCCCGGUUUCUAUAGCUUUCUUCCCAGCUAAAGUCAACCCCACCUGUGCAAUUUGACCAAUCACCAUAGCCAGAAAUGGCAAUGUGCCUUUCAUCUUCAUCUUCAUCUCUCUCAAAGAUCUUCAAGUCUAAAGAACUUGAAUGUUUAUAUUUUAUACGAAAUGUAGUAGUCAAUAGUAAUUUUAGUAUCAACUUGAAACCAAUUAGAGAUCAAAUCUGAUGAAUUUGUUAUUACCAGGACCACAUUGAAUGAUACAAUUUAUAUUUUUUUAUUAUAAGAAUUUAGCAAGAUCAAGAUUUGUUACUUUGUUACUAGGGGGACCACUUAGUUAUCUUAAACAUCACAUGAUUUAUUGGUAUUGUUUUUUUUUUUUUUUUAAUAUAUAAGUACAUCAUGGGUGACUGACUUAUUUGAUUAGUUUAUGAUUCAGUGAUAAUUCCUAGGUUUUUGUUUAAAUUAGAUUAUCACGUAUAUAUAAGAUAGUUCAUAGAAAUUGAGUGUUUUAUCAAAUUAUUGAUUAAUUAGAGUCCCUCAAUAGAUUGAGUUUUUUUUUUUUUUUUGAUAAGUGAUGACAGUUAUGUAAUUUGAUAAAAAAAAGAGUAUCUUGACCCUACUGAAUUUAUUAUAUAAAUGUACAAGUUAUAUUGCGGGAUGUACUAUGUUUUGGAGAAGGGGUUAUCCAAGAAAGUGAGUGUUUAAUUAUUAGAAUCUUGUUUUGUUGUGAGGAAAUGACCAAAUUUUCAACGUUUGGCGUGUCAAAUUAGAGUGAAGCCGUUGGAUGAAGAUUGUACAGGUUACAUUGCAUGAUGUACAAGUUGUUAUAGCAGGAUUGAUCUAGAACAAGAAUCGCCCAUGGAAUCGGCCCUAUACCCCAGGAGAAUGACUGUUUGAUUAUUAGAUUCGUAUUAGGUUGGCAAUGACAUAACAAAUCCAUUCCCAAUAUACCCUUUGAAAAGUUGUGACUUUUAGUAUUUUACUAAUUUUCUGACCAAAUUGUUUCUCCGUUUUUUUGUUUAUAUAUUUCCAUUUCUAAUGCCUUGCUAGGUUUGAUAACUUUGUUUGUUCAAAAGAAAUAAUUGAAAUUAAAGAAUUACAAAUAAAACAACAGUAUAAUAAUUAUUUAUAGGUAUAACUCUGGUAAAUUACAAGUUUUGUUAUGCACAAUCUUUUUAUACACUAUUCUAUUCUUGCACAAUUUUGGUCUGUAGAAAAUUGUUUUAAAAAAAAAUGAGGUUUUUAUUUUCAAUUUGAAGUAAAAAAAAUAAUUAAAAACGCGUUACAAACUUUUAAUCCAAUAGAACAAGGACACUUUACUCACGUGGCAUUCUUUUUUUAAUAAAUCCAACCUUAUCCAGAGUUUCAAUCCCAAAAUUGGUGAUGGAGAUGGAAUGAAACAUUACAAUGGAAUAAAUUGAUUACAAAAAAUGAUUUUUUUUUUCUUUUGCGUAGGGGGUAGUAUUUUUCUAUGAUACAUUUGUGUACGCUCUAAACCAUUGAAGUCAAGAAAUCUCUUACACUAUUUUGUAAAUUUUAAAGAUAGCGUUUAGUAAUUUGCUGUUGAUUAUUUUUUGUAAAUUUUGUCGAAUCAAGAAUUUAUUUUUAUGUAUCGAACCUGACCAUUCUAUUAUUACAUUUGAUAAUGGUAAAUUUUAGAAUAUGAUAAGUUAUCUUGCAUUGCCUCUGUCCAGAUUUAUGUUCGGUUUGCAUUGAAGGUGAUAUCUUCACUUAUAGCUUUGAUUCAUCCACUUAAAAACAAUGUGCUUCGAUCAAAAAACACAUAACAUCAACUCCCAUUUGGCAUAGUGAUUGUGGUUGAAUAGAAACUCUUCAUUUUCAAAAAACACAAGAAGCCACCAACAUGAUGAUGAUGAUGAUGAUGAUGAUGAUGAUGUAAAGAGAAGAGUAGUCUAAGAUGCAGAGAGUAGAGAGCGAAGGCUGAGCUGAUAACCAAACCUCUCACAGCACAAUGAAAAGAAGAUAUACAAUAAAUUGUUUAGCAACCAAUCACAAACAUAUGAUAUUAUACUCAUCACAAAAGCAUUAGAAAGUCAUUAAGAGUAAAUACUAAAAGUAUGAAAGAGACCUCUAAGUUUGAAGAAGAAGCUGAACACAUCAAAAAACAUCACCCUUUUGCACCAUAUCAGCCUUUAC
rnacentral:lncRNA from 1 species